ensembl:lncRNA
GCACGCAACUUGGGGCCACCUGGCCUAGUGACUGCUGCUACGCGUCCUGGCCGAGGGGUAGCGGGACCGCAGGCGGCUGGAGUGGGGAAGGGUGACCGCCGCCGUCGUUUCUUCUCCGUGGGUGGCUACAGAGUGCCCUCAAGUAACCCGGAGGUUGAGGGCCCCCCAGUGCGCGGCUGCCGGGGGUCAGGACGCGGGACUCCCCUCUACCGCCAUGGUCUGGCAGUGUGGGGGAGCGCUCAGGGACAGAGAUGCGGCUGCAGAUGUGUGCUUUCUCCUUGCUCCCGACUGCUGACUUCAUUAUUCAAAUACGCAGCCGAAACCAUGGAUCUUGCAGGUGCAGCUUUUCUCUGUCUCUCUUAUGUGGAAAGCAGCACAGCGUGGACUCCAGCCAAACUCCCCGAGUUGGAUUGCAGCUCUCUGGCUCUCUAUCCCUGUGAACUGGGGCAGUUUACUGCUUCUAUGUCUCAGUUUCCUCAGCUGUGCAAAGGGGUUACUGAUCCUACUUAACGGGGUGGGUUGUUGUGAAGAGGAAAUGAGUUAACAUAAGUAGAGAAAGACACUGGUGCCUGGCAAGCACUGUGUGAGUGUUUUGGUGUUAUUAUUGCUGUUUUUAUUAGAGCUACAUGUAACGGAACGUUUAAUGAGCCUUUUCCUGUUACCCUGGAAUUAGUGAGUCAGGGCACAAAGUGUUCAUAUCCUCGAGGGGACACAACAAGGCACCAUCUUGGAAGCAGAGAGUGGGCCCUCACUGGACACCAAACCUGCAGGUGCCUUGAUCUUGGACUUCCCAGCCUCUAUGACUCAAAUAUGCACUGGAAUUAGGAGUCUCACCCUUUGCUGGCCUCUGCAGCUACAGAGAUGAUUGGUCACAUUCUCAUGGGUGAAGAAAUGGACAAGCUGAUUCUAAAAUUCAUUUGGAACUGCAAGGGACCAGAAGAACCAAAGCAAUCUUCAACAAGAACAAUGUUAGAAGAUUCACUUCUCCAUUUCAAAACUUACUACAAAACUAUAGUAAUCGGCGGGGUGCAGUGGCUCAUGCCUGUAAUUCCAGCACUUUGGGAGGCCGAGGCAGGCAGAUCACUUGAGGUCAGAAGUUUGAGACCAGCCUGGCCAACAUGGUGAAACCCCGUCUCAACUAAAAAUACAAAACUUAGCUGGGUUUGGUGGCAAGUGCCUAUAAUCCCAGCUACUCAGGAGGCUGAGGCAAGAGGAUUGCUUGAGCCUGGGAGGUGGAUGUUGCAGUGGGCUGAGAUCGUGCCACUGCACUCCAGUUUGCCUGGGUGACCAAGUGAGACUCUGUCUCAAAAACAAACAAACAAACAAAAAAACAACAACAAAAAGUAUGUGUAUAUAUAUAUGAGAGAGAGAGAGUAAUCAUUACUGUGUGAUAUUGGCAUGAGUAUAGAUACAGAAUAGAAUUGAAAGUCCAGAAAUAAAUCUAUACAUUUAUGUUAAUGUCAAUUGAUAUUGAAUGUUUGCCAAAAACAUUCAAUGGAGAAAGAAUAGCCUUUUCAACAUAUGGUGCUGGGUCAACCAGAUAUUCACAUACUAAAGAAUAAACUUGGAACUCUAUCUUAGGGCUAAUAUGAAAAUGAACUGAAAGUCAACUAAAUAACCUAAAUGUAAGAGCCAAAUCUAUAAAACUCUUAGAAGAAAACAGGUAAAAAUCUGCAUGAUCUUAGAUUAGGCAAUAUUUAGAUUUGGCACUAAAAACAUAAGCAACCAAAGAAAAAAA